rnacentral:rRNA from 1 species
GACAGAGGUGGCAAGCGUUGUUCGGAAUUACUGGGCAUAAAGGGUGCGUAGGCGGUCAAGCAGGUCAGGGGUGAAAUCCCCCGUCUCAAUCGGGGAACUGCCUCUGAAACCACUUGGCUAGAGUGGAAAAGGGGAGAGUGGAACUCGCAGUGGAGCGGUGAAAUGCGUAGAUAUUGCGAGGAACGCCGGCGGCGAAAGCGACUCUCUGGGUUCCAACUGACGCUGAGGCACGAAAGCUAGGGGAGCAAACGGG